GACGAACGCUGGCGGCGUGCUUAACACAUGCAAGUCGAACGGAAAGGCCCUGCUUUUGUGGGGUGCUCGAGUGGCGAACGGGUGAGUAACACGUGAGUAACCUGCCCUUGACUUUGGGAUAACUUCAGGAAACUGGGGCUAAUACCGGAUAGGAGCUCCUGCUGCAUGGUGGGGGUUGGAAAGUUUCGGCGGUUGGGGAUGGACUCGCGGCUUAUCAGCUUGUUGGUGGGGUAGUGGCUUACCAAGGCUUUGACGGGUAGCCGGCCUGAGAGGGUGACCGGCCAAUUGGGGACUGAGACAGGCCCCAGACCCCGACGGGGGGCAGCGGGGGGAAAUAUGACACAAGGGGCGGAAGCGUGCUAGGGAGCCGCCGGGGGGGGAAUGCGGGCCUUCGGGGUGUAAACCGCUUUCGCCGGGGACGAGGGGGGAGUGACGGUAGUGGGUAAGAAAGCCCCGGCUAACUACGUG
rnacentral:rRNA from 1 species